rnacentral:rRNA from 1 species
UACGUAGGUGGCAAGCGUUGUCCGGAUUUACUGGGCGUAAAGAGCGCGCAGGCGGUCGUGCAAGUCGCGUGUGAAAGCCCCCGGCUCAACUGGGGAGGGUCACGCGAUACUGCUCGACUCGAAGGCAGGAGAGGGAAGUGGAAUUCCCGGUGUAGUGGUGAAAUGCGUAGAUAUCGGGAGGAACACCAGUGGCGAAGGCGACUUCCUGGCCUGUUACUGACGCUGAGGCGCGAAAGCUAGGGGAGCAAACGGG